AUUGAACGCUGGCGGCAGGCUUAACACAUGCAAGUCGAACGAGCGGCGGACGGGUGAGUAAUGCCUGGGAACCUGGCUGAUGGAGGGGGAUAACUACGGGAAACUGUAGCUAAUACCGCGUACCAUCGGAUGUGCCCAAGUGGGCUUAGGUAGUAGGUGGGGUAAAGGCUCACCUAGCCGACGAUCCCUAGCUGGUCUGAGAGGAUGACCAGCCACACUGGGAAUGAGACACGGCCCAGACUCCUAAGGGAGGCAGCAGUGGGGAAUAUUGCACAAAGGGCGGAAGCAUGAUGCAGCCAUGCCGCGUGUAUGAAGAAGGCCUUAGGGUUGUAAAGUACUUUAAGCGAGGAGGCGUUACCCGCAGAAGAAGCACCGGCUAACUCCGUGCCAGCAGCCGCGGUAAUAC
rnacentral:rRNA from 1 species